rnacentral:rRNA from 1 species
AUGCGCUUGCUCGCCUUUGUUCUUCUCUGCACGCACAUCAUCGCCGCCUAUGGCCCAGUAGGUCGUCGUGCUCGCGUCCUCCGCUCUGUCCGAUUGCUGCCUCCUCCUGCAGUGCUGCUGAACUGCAACGGAUGCGCGUCCCUCACCCGUGCGGCGCUCAACGACCCCAGCGCUGGUCGCCUCCUCCCCCGCGCGCUCUGCUUCGGCCUCCUGUACCGAGCGCCCGCUCCGUGCUCCCGCCGGCUCCGCGCACCUAGCUCCCCAGCCUCUGUGCUCCUCCUGAGAAGCCGCUGGCCAUGGGCUCCAGUGCAUCUCCGCGCCCCCGCGCCAGGCCGCCCCGGCGCUCCACCGCAGCGAGCUCCUCCCGCGCCGCUGCAGAGCCCCGCGCCGGCCUCGCUCCUCCGUGCGCCGAGCCGCGGCCGGGUGCCCCCUACCGGCUUGCCUCGGCCAGCCGCUGCCGCACCCUACGCCGGCUCCGACUCGCGCCUCGACCCGGCCGGCUGGCUCCACGUCCGACAGACAACGGCCGGGUUCUCCGCCCCCGUGCCGACUUCUCCACGCGCGCCGGCUGCGCCUCGCCUCCGCUCCAGCCGGCUGCCGGGUCCGGCUCCUGCGUCGCCCCGCCCGGCUCCGCCUCCACGCCAGCGCCCGCGCCGCCCGGCCCCGCCCGAUGGCCGGCUCCCGCUCGCCGCUGGCCGACUCCUGCGCGUCCGGCCCCCCAGCGUCGCCUCCGCAUGGCCAUAUCGUCCGCGCUCGCCCGGCUUCGACCCCGCGCGCUCGCCUCUCCCGCGUCGGGUCCGGCCUCCGCCCUGCCGGCUGCUAGCCUCCCGCGUCGGGUCCGGCCCCCGCGCCCGCCGGCUUGCCACUCCAGCCGAAGGCCGGCUUCCACCCGCUCCCCGGCCUGCCGGCUUCUCCGCCUGCACUCCACCCUGCCGGCGUGAGAAACAACAAGGGCCAGCUGGAAGGAAAGAAAAGAUCGCGGCUGGAGAGAAAAGAGCAAAGAGCCGAGUGCCCAAAACAAAACAAAAAAGAGAGAAAAAAGGGGAGUGGGUGCCGGCUGUAGAGAAGAUGAAGAAAGAAAGAGAAGAGGCCGACUGCCUUGUAGCCGGCUGGGAAAAGUGGGCUAGCUGCCCAAGAAAAGUCAAGGGCUUUGUGCCCAGCCGGCUGAGAAAGAGUCGGGCCGGCAAAAAACAAAUCGUGGCCGGCUGCUGCUAA